GCCUCAAUAGCUUAGUGGUAGAGCAUUUAAUCAAAUGCCUCUUGCGGACCCUCGUAUAUUAUCAAAAGGCCAGGGUUUGAAUCCCUGUUGAGGCU
rnacentral:tRNA from 1 species